rnacentral:lncRNA from 1 species
ACACACGCAUGGAAUAGAAAGGAGAAAGCUCACUUUCUCUCUCUAAAUUUCUCCCAAAAUAGAGGGAAUUGAUGGAGAUUAAAGCUUCAAGGUGGAUUUUCAUCUUCAUCAUCAUCUUCCUCUCCAUUGAAGCUUGCUUGAGAGGUAAGCUUCAAAACCCUUUAAUGGUAGAACUCUAAGGAUUGAUCCUUAUGCUCUAAAAAUGGUUUUAAUAGAAUUCUAGCAUGCUAAAUAGAUGAUUAUUGCUAGAAUCUAGGAUCAAUUUAAUUAAUUCUUGCCUAGUUAUAAACCUAGGGCUCGAAAUGCAAUUUUUGAAAAUAUGAGGGUUUGAUCUCAUUUAACCCUCUGGAAACCUAAUUGAUAGGUCACUGAACGCGUCGGAAGCGACGGUUCGGCGAUUCGUCGAGCCAGUGCGAAGUUAUUAAAGAAACGGACGUUUAGGCUUCGUUUCCGCCUGGAGGGCCGAGGCGACGUCGUAAAAUCCUGGAAACGGAUUUGAAGCAUCGUAAUAGGAAACCGAAGACCUUUAAUUUUCGGAUCGCGGAUCGGAGGUCGUUUGGUUGUCGCGCGCGUGGAUUGGGUCAAGCCGAGCGGCGUGCGCCGCGGGAGGCCGAUUGCGAGUGACGACGAGCAAUCGGAACGCGAUAAAAGGUGGGUGGUGUCCAUCCCGAAUCAAUCGGGCUCCUUUUUAUGUCUAAGUUUUAUAUUGAUCAAAUUGCAUAUUGACAUCUUGCAUUAUAGGGUGAUAAAUGAUGGUUUGGUCCUAUACCUUGCAUGUUCUUUGGUAGAAUAAUGUAUUUGGCUUAGUACUUAUAUCUAACAUGCUUGAGGUUUAUAUAUGUGAUGUGGAACCCUAUAAUGAGAUGAUAAGUGUGGAUGGGAAUUUAAUAAUGCAUUGGCUAUUGCAUUGAAAACUUGUAAAGAACGAGUGGCAUCUAGUUGAUAGUAAACAAAGAACAAAUGACACCUAUGAGUCAUAGUGUAUAUGAAACCUAUGGGCUAUAUGAUGGUUGUAACCCUAGAGGAUAGGGUAUUCUCGAGACGAGGAUUGGAUCAUGCUCACGGUCUGUUUUUAAAUCUUGUGAUGGAAGCCCCACACAAGUAGUGCGCUCCGGAGUUGGUCACGUGGGAUUGCCGAUUUCGGGUCCCAAGGGAUUGCCUAUUUUAGGCCCCGCCAGACGGUCUCGGUUCGUAGUGCGAGUUGACCCUCCCUACCUUCGAGAUGGCUAGUGAGCAGUAGGCUCCUUCAGGGAAGCCACGAGAUUAAGAAACAAGUAAAUGAGAUUGGUGAACGAGUAAAUAACUUUACCUUUGGACAUGAUAAUGGGAUUGUUGUUUAUCCAUUUCAUUGUACAUGCAUUCAUAUAUUUAUGAUUGGGCAUAGUAGCGUAGCUUUACUGCUGUCAUUUACCGCUUUCCUUAUCUAUCUAUCUAUCGAUUAUCUACUUGUGCCCAACUUGGACCUAGUGGGGAGAUCGGCGGAGUCGGCGGCCGAACCCACUGGGAACUAAGGAAGUUAGUUCUCACCCCCAUUUUACUACAGGGCCGAGCGCGAGUUCACACGGCGAGGAUCGCGGUAAGGGCCUAGCGCCCUAGUUGCAUUAGUUUACUUUCCUAUUUCUGCAUUAGAGUUACCUUUAUAUACAUUGAGAGUAGAUGAUGUAUAGGAUGUGAGAUAUUCUGGAAUGAAUGUAAGCUAAUGUUUGUAAUUUGGAAGAUGUAAGCUUUAUAUUAUGUUUAGAAGCUUAAUGCAUAAUCAAGUUGUAUUAUAAAGGCUGAAUGAAUGUAAUAGAUAGAUGUUUCUCUCUUUAUCAUUACUUGUAUGUUCUAUACUUGUAUCUUGCUCUUAGUUGUUUAGCACUGAUUGUGCUCCCCUCGUAGUUGUUAAGUGAUCAUGUAUGUAUUCAAGUGAUUUCCUGGGAACUUGUUGUACAUGAUCUGUUGGUUAGCCUUGGGCGGACAGGGGAGGUUCUGUCCGUUCGGCGUCUGUUUGACGCGCCCGGGCCGGACCAAAUUGGUAGCGGUCUCGGGGCGUGACACAGAACCUAGCUAAAUCUUGUGGCCCGUACAUGCAGUUUUUUCUCCCUUUUAACUUGGGAUACAUAGAACAUACCAAAGAAUACAGUUUGACCCAAGCUGGCUCUCAGUAUUUGUUAGAGAUACAUAACCAACUUGCUCAUCAUUCAAAUCACUAGCAGAUUAAUGGUAACAUAUCUGAGUCAAAUUAUUAUUUAAUGAAGGUAGUUCCAUACUUCCAUCCUUUCAUAAAUAUAAUAACUGAUUAAAGAAAGCAAACAAGUAAGGAUGCAUCAGGACCCAUAGCACCUCAAGAAUUACAGCCUUAUAGUAAAGUUCCCACCAUCGGCUAGACUCCACAAAAAGUACAAGUUAUUAUUGUAAAAAGGUCUAACCUAUUGAAACACACAUCCCAAGCUAAACAAUUAGUAGAUAUUCCACACGUAAAACUGUAAAUUUCAGCACAAACAUAACCUUGAAAUCUCUGGAAAUAUAUAAGAAAUGCUAUCGAAUAUAGGUUAGUUCGUGAGUAUUUUGAAAAGAUAGAUUGCAACCUUUAUUGUAGGGAACAAAAAUAACUCAUGAAGCAAACUCCAUAUACAUCAUAGAUGACCAGAAGGACGUACAUAGUGGGAAAAUUCAAAAAUAAAAAUCACCUAGAAGCCUAUUUUAGAUCUUCUGGAACAAUAAAUCUACGCAAAUCAAUAAAUAGGAAAAAAAGCAUACAAGAAAAAGCAGCUGCACGAUUUAGAAUUUACAUAAAGUUGCAUAAAAAUCCUUUCUUCUAGAAAUAAAUUCUUCCAUUCCAAAAGCUGAAUCCACACAAAUUAGUAUCAGUUUAAAAUAAUCAUUAAGAAACAGUAACAUUACCUGAUAAAGAACUAUUGCAAGGACUCUUGAAAAACGUUCAAUCUGAAUAAGCAACAUUCCAGCCUUUUCUGUUACGUUAUCAAUAAGCUUUUCCUCCAGUCCCAUACUCUGAAACCGUGCACGCCAUCUUGAAAGGCCUCUUAACUCUCCAAUUCGGAACCCAGCAAUUUCUACAGCAGGCUACACAAUAAAGAGCCAGAAGAUGAUUGAUCAAGCCACUUGUAUUUAUGAUCUCAACAACAUAUAACUAACACAGCAAGGUGAAAUUUAAACUAAUUAAAAUAACAAGUAUCCAUGACAAUCACAUAUAGAUUCAAACAAAUGACAAGGCAGCACAUGUCAGAAAGUGCAAGAAGAAAAGUUAAGAUAUUGUUGUCAUGUUAGUCGACGUUUACUUGCCUAUAGACAGAAGGAAAAGGAAGAUAAUGUAGCCAUGUUACUUUGUAACAUUUUGUCCUUUUUAAGAAAAGAAAGGUCAACCAAAAAAGAGAAGCAAAAUGAAGCCGUGUUACUUUGUAACAUUUUGUCCUUUUUAAGAAAAGAAAGGUCAACCAAAAAAGAGAAGCAAAAUGAACACAAAAUUAUUUUAAAUGAGUAUUGGAGCCCAUAGGCCAUGGCUACUAUACUAUUAUGAGUAUUGGAGCCCUCAUACUCAUAAGUUGUUUUCACUGAUGGAGCUUCCGAAUCGACGAUCCACUCCGUUAAAUAUGAUCUAGAGUAUUUGAAACUUCUAGAAAAUAAAUUUCGUAAAUUUUCAAAAUCAUAAUAAAGUCCAUCAAGUGGGCAUAAAAUGAACGGUCAAAAUCGAACGACGUCCUAAAAAAGAAUGAUCGGAUCCUUCAAUUCAAGAUCGGAGUUAUUGAUCUUUAUCUAUGUAGUGAAUAAAAUUUUUUAUCAAAAAUUCAACAAAUUCCGAUUCUUUUACACUGUUAAACUAGCAAGUAUCCCAUACCGGCCAGUUUAAAAAUUGUCAAAUUGUGACUCUUGACCGUAAGGUAAUGAUGUCGAAAAAUUAUAAAUUUGAUUUCUAGAAGUUUAAAUGCUGUAAAUACGUUUAACGUGUGGAUCGUCGAUUCGGAAGCUCUAUCAUCGAAAACAACUUAUGAGUACGAGGGCGAUCGUACUCAUAAUAGUAUAGUAGUCAGACCCAUAGGCCAUGGCUACUAUACUAUUAUGAGUGUUGGAGCGCCUCGUACUCAUAAGUUGUUUUCAAUGAUGGAGCUUCCGAAUCGACGAUCCACUCCGUUAAAUAUGAUCUAGAGUAUUGAAACUUCUAGAAAAUAAAUUUCGUAAUUUUCGAAAUCAUAAUAAAGUCCAUCAAGUGGGCAUAAAUGAACGCGUCAAAAUCGAACAACGUCCUAAAAAAGAAUGAUCGGAUCCUUCAAUUCAAGAUCGGAGUUAUUGAUCUUUAUCUAUGUAGUGAAUAGAAUUUUUUAUCAAAAAUUCAACAAAUUCUGAUUCUUUUACACCAUUAAACUAGCAAGUAUCCCAUACGGCCGUUAAAAAUUGUCAAAUUUGUGACCUCUUGAUCGUAAGGUAAAUGAUGUCGAAAAAUUAUAAAAUUUGAUUUCUAGAAGUUUUAAUGCCUGUAAAUAAGUUUAACGGUAUGGAUCGUCGAUUCGGGAAGUCUAUCAUUCGAAACAACUUAUGAGUACGAGGGCGAUCUACUCAUAACAGUAUAGUAGCCGGACCCUAUUAUAUAUAUAUAUAUUAUAUAAUAUAGAGAGAAGAGAGGAGAGAGAGAAGAGUUCGGCUACUAUCCUAUUAAUAGGAUUGGGACCAUUGUCCUAUCAAAUGUUUUGAACAAUCGACACUCCAAAUUGAUAAUCGGCACCGUUGAAAUUGAUCUACACUAUAAGAAAUAUUUAAAAAACCGAAUUUUGUAAUUUUUGAAAAUCAUUAUCAAGUCUAUCGAAGAGUCGAUAAAAUGAAACGGUCAUUAAUGAAUAACCUUCUUAAAACAGAGGUUAGACUUUCUCAAAUCAUGAUCAGAGUUAUCAAAUAUUAUCUAAAUAGUAUAAAGAUUUUCUAUCAAAAAUUCAAGCAAUUUGGUUACUCUACACCGUUAAACAAGCAAAACGCUCAUAUAGGCGUCAAAAAUUGUCGAUUUUACGACACUUUGAUCACCAUGUAAAUAAUUUUUAAAAUUUAUGAAAUUUAGUUUCUAGAUAUUUCAAAUACUCUAGAUCAACUUCAACGGCUCCGAUCAUCGAUUCGAAUCUCUAUCAUCAAAACAAUUUGAUAGACAAGUGCUACUUCCUAUUAAUAGGAUAGUUAGCCCUAGGCUAUAAUAUAUAUAUAUAUAUAUAUAUAUAUAUAUAUAUAUAUAUAUAUAUAUAUAUAUAUCAUGAUUCACCUACCUCUAGCAAGGUUUAAGGUGCCGCUCCGUGCCGUAUGUACCGUGCCACCAAAAAGGUGGCACGAUACAGGGGGGGUCUCGGACCCCCCUCCGUACCGCAGCACGGACCUGCGUAUCGCGCGAGACAGAGAGCGAUACGCAGGUCCGUGCCACAGCACUGUGUCGUGCCGGCACACUUUUUUUUUUUCUUUUUUCUUUUUUUUCUUUUUGUUUUGUUCUAUAGGAUACCACGAAGCAUUCCACACCCCCAAGGACAUUGCAAAUUGAAGAUCUACUUGGUAGUUAAAUCAAAAAAAUUAUAUUUUAAUUUUUUUGCUUAUUAAUAUACGGGCAAAUUUUUAAUUUACAUAUCUGAUCUAUACCGUAGGAGGCGAAGUCCCCUACACCCUCCUUAUCAGCCUGAGCCCUCCGUGCCCACCAUAAACAUCUAUUUUUUUCAUAAAUUAUUUUACCAAAAUUUGUCGCACCGCGAAAUUUUUGGCGAAUAAAGGAAACAAAAUCAAACUCAAUAAACAAAUUUUGAGGCAAAUCAAACAUAAAAAUUUAUUUUUGUGUUAGAAGAUUAAAAAUACUUAUAAAAUUAAAAGCUAAAUUAAAUCAAUUGAUACUUAAAUUUAUUUAAUUUAUUUGUCAUAUAAUUUAUUGCUUAAUUUUUUUGAUAGAUCUCAUAAUUUAUUAAAACAUUAAUUAAAAAUUAAUCUUUUCAAAUAUUUUUAAAAUAAUUUUUUCAAAUAAUUUUUAAAAUUUAUUUUUAAAAUUAUUUUUUUGCAUUUUAUAAAAGAAAAACUAUGAUAUGGCGAAAAGAAAAAAAGAAAGAAAGAUGUCUUUACAUUUUUAAAAUUCUAACCUGUAAAAAUUUUUAUUUUGCAUCAGAUGUAGUUGUAUUUUACAUACAAAAAAAGCUUACAAGUAUUUUAAUUAAUGAGUAUAGUAAAUUAUAUAUAGCAAAUAUUCAUAAUUAUUUGAUUAAAUCUUUCAAAAUAACAUUAUAAAAACUUAUUAGAACCAUAAAAACUAAAAUAAAUCCGUGCCAAAACAUGCCAAUAGGAGGUCAUACAUAUCCAUCGACACGCAAGCGUAUCAUAUGUCGGCACGGAAGCAUGCCGGUGCAGUACCGUGCCAGGCAAACAGCGACACGCCCCCGUACCACAGCACUUUAAACCUUGAUCUCUAGAGCAUCGGCUGCUCCUCGACUGCUAAUCCAGCUGACUAAAGAACUUAAUAAUAGAAUUUAGGCAUGCAUAACUUUUUAAAUGAGAUGUCAAUGCUAGCAGAGUCUGGUUAUUUCAAACAGGUGCAGCUUAAUUAAGUGACUAAAAAUGCAAAAUUUUACUUCCAAAUACACAAUUAAGAAAAUUACAUCUCCGCAAGCGCCAAAGAAGAUGCAAAUAAUUCCACUCUUUAUUGGUUGUUCAGCUUUUCCUACAUUUUGUUUGAUUCGGCAACAAGGAACAAGCAGAUCAGAUUAUUAGGUAAUUAUGCCUCAUAAUUUCCACAGACAAUCAUGGCAGGUAGUAGUUCAUCCCUAUACUUGGUGUACUUUAUAUGCUUCAAUUCAAAAACCGCGGCAAAAGCCAAGAUCGCUAUAUGUUCUGCUGUGACUAAAAUGAGCAUGUAGGAACAGCAACAAACCUCAUGAUAUACCAAAACCAGUUACUAACAUCAGGGUUGUUCGUACAUGUACGUACCUGAAGAUGUUCAUUCAGAACAACACGAAGUUCUUUUCCAGCAUUGUCAACAGCCCUGGAAACACGCUUCAGACCCUAUCAAAGUAACAAAAACAUGUAUAACACAUAAUUUUUGUAGAAAAUAUAUAGCGUUGGUUAAGGCUGACGAUACCGCUUCACCAAGUGAACUGACUAAAAACUGGUGAAGUGCCGGACUAGUGCGCGCCCCAAAUAAAAGACUUAGAAACUCAUCCUGAGGACUGGAAUCUAGCCCUACAGAAAUAUUUACAAAAAAUGACAAAUAAAGACAAUAAACACACUGCCCGCUAACUGUAACCAAGAUGGGAUCGGUCGAUACCAUGGUCAACAAUCAGAGCAGAUAAAGAACCAAAUUUCUCAUGGAAUAAAUUCAUCGCGUCAGACCAUUGCUUGGACAUUACAGAUAUUGAAGUCCGGACAACUUCAAUUAAAUCCUCAAUACUUGACGCCUGCUGGGCCACCUGAUGUAGCUCAUUUUUCCUGUAACAAGUAGCUAGCUUAAUUACAACACAGCAUAUAGAUAAAGUAUAAAAACAUAUUCGCUAGGCUGUAUUUACUAAAUUAAACAAAACAGUGACUUGAAAGAUGGAAAAAUGGAUGAGUUCUAGCCAGCUAUUUAAACAUCCGAUUGAGGUGAUCGGAGGAAAACCAGAUAAUCAGUAUGGAGAAAACUACUGGUCUAAUUCUUUAAAAAACUACUGGUCCAUUUCUUUAACAACAAAGCCAUAGUAGAUCAAAGAUUAAGAGCUAAAACAUCCAAUAGCCAAAAAAAAAAAAUGACUCCAAAAAUUUUAAAAGUAGACAAACAGUACUUUCCAAAGAUAACCAUAAUAGAAGCAAAAGGUAAGAAGAUAAGGGAUAAUUGGUGGAUUAGAUAUUACAACAUACAAACAAGAAAAUGAAUGCUGAACUGUGAAACAUAUACUUUUUCAAUUACAUCACAAAUUGAAAAACUUACAGUCAAUGGACUGCACUGUAUGAGGUAACAAGUAAACUCCCAAAACUAAUUAUCAUAUGAUUAUGUCGGUGGCUGCCUAUCACCACAAUUAUCUCUACGAAUUCUCUUCAAGAUUAGGGAAAGCGGUCAACAUAGUAGGUGAUGUUCUCUUAUGACAGAGUACAAAUUCUGAGCCACUUCGUUUCUGGUGAUUCAGAGAAUGAUUGGUUAUAACAUAUCGUGAAAUUUUCUUAUAAUACACCGGCAAGACUUCCAACUGAAAUCAGUGAAUGUCACAAAGUCAUAAAGAUACUCCUUGAUAUCCAUGUAAAUAUCAUCAAUAAAAGAAAUGUAUAUCAUAUGGUUAAAACCAAGGAUUAAAGUGCCCAUUAGCAGUUUGGCACGGGCCGUAUCCACCGUGCCGUAUCGUGCCAGCAAGAUAUCGAUACGAUACAGCCCCCGUGCCAAUGGCACAACUCAAAACCCUCUAUUCUUAAAAUUAUUAAGUAAUUUUCUCAAUAAAGUUCAAAAGAUUUGAACUUUAUACAUAAUAAAUAAUUGGCAUAUUUUGUUGUUAAAGAAAAUAAAUAUUUCAUGCCAUUACAUGUCAACACACAUAUUUUUUUGUGACCGACACCUAUCAGCACGGCCCGGCACACACCAUGUCGUAUCGUGCCGGCAAGUUUCAGACACAACCCCGUGCCACGACACUUAAAUCCUUGGUUAAAACAUAUCAUAAAAUUUUCUAAUUAUGCAACAGCCAGCCUUCCAACUGAUAUUAGUGAAACCACAAAACCCUCCUGACAUUCCAUGAUAUCCAUGCAAAGAUCAUUAGUCGCAAAUGUGAGGAAAAUUUCUCUUACCUGCUUUGAAAUAUUGAUGUGUCCAGGAGUACACAGUGUAAGCCAACGGAAAGAUCAUCACAGCAAGAAGAUUUGCCAAAUUCAACCAACUCUCCAAAGCUGAGUACUACCAAUUGGCAGAGAUUUUUUGAUAAAGAUACCUGGUGAAAAAAAAAAAAAAAGGGAACAGCAUGGUCAACUAUCUAAAAAUUUACUCAGUAAAUGCCAGGAAAAACAAGAAAAAGCGAGGUGCUAACUAGAAAUUUACCCAAUAGAAUGUGAAACCCAACAAUUAGAAGGCCUGAUGACUCAUAUAUAAAUUUAAAGCUAGUUCAAUGUAUCAUUUCAAUUGCAACCACAAUGCUAUGUUAGCUAUAUGAUGACUACAAAAUGUUUAUCCCAUCUGCAAAUAAAGAGCUUUAGAGCUUAAAACUCGUUUAACAAGACCUACUAGCAUUUUAGAACCAAUUCUCAGCCCAAACCAUUGAACUGUACCAGGUGGAGAAACCUCUCUUAUAAUUUAGAUUAAGUGUAACGACCCAACCCACUAGCAACAAUAACUAGUUAGGCCCAACCACCGGCCAAAUAUGUUUAAGCCCAGUUAUUAUUACUAGCGUGUAGGCCUUAUAUAAACUGAUCGGAAUCAGUAUCCCAUCCGAUGUGAGACUAUUGGGGGAGUUUGUAAUAACAAACUCCCCCUGUUUAGACCCUGACGUCCUCGUCAGGUCCAAACCCAGACUGACAGACAAAGCAGGACCAGAAUUACCAUGCUCCUACGGGUUCAAGAGGUGGCUCCCACCAAACUCGUUGGUGCAGCACUUUGCCCUGCAUAGCACUUAACUCUCACACUUCCGGCUAGUAUUCGGCUCUGAUACUAAAUGCAACGACCCGACCCGCUAGCAAUAAUAAUUCGUUGGGCCCAACCACCGGCCCAAAAUGCUUAAGCCCAGUUAUUAUGUCUAGCCCAAUCGAGCUUAUAUACUCCCAUAUCUAGUCAUAACUACCCGAUGUGGGACUAUUGGUGUCACGCCCCGAAACAGCUACCAAUUUGAUCCGGUUCGGGCGCGUCGAACAGACGCCGAACGGACAGCACCUCCCCUGUCUGCCCAAGGCUGCUAACUAACUCAGGGCGCUAUGCCCUUACCGCGGUCCUCGCCCGGCGUACUGGUACUAGGCCCUGCAACAAAGUGGGGUGAGAACUAUAUAAAUAUAGUUUCCAGUGGGUUCGGCCGCCGACUCCGGGUCUAAGCAGGCAUAAGCAGAUAGAUAGAUAGGUAGAAAUGUAAGCUGCAACUAUUCUACCAUGCCUGCAAUGUGAUGCCAUGUAUGAAAUAAUCAUCAUGCAACAGUGUACUAUCAUGCUAGUAUGAUGUCAAGAGUAUAUAUAUGUAACAUAGCAAUGCAAUCUACAACAUACACUAUGUUUACUUAAGGUAAGAAUGCAAUUCUACUAUGCUAUUCAUGUUCAUUACCCAAUUUACCUGGCUGACCCGUAGGUUAAGCCCUCAACUCACUUUCAAUCUCAUUGGUGAGGAGAAGCUGCACUCGCACACCGAGACCGUCUGCGGGACAACUACGUCUACCCCUGUGUGAAGUACUCCGGAGACCACUGCUUUGGUGGAGCGACCACCGACAAGCGAAACAGACUAGUGAGUAUGAUCCAAUCCUCACAAGAGGAUACCCUAUCUACUAGGGUCAUAGUGCCUCUGCUGCACAAUCACAAUGCAUAAUCAAAUGCCGGGACUUCUACCAUCCCUAAGUUCAUGUCAUAUUUACUACACUAGACUCGAUGCCACUCGUUCGAUCAUUUGUAGUAAGUUUUCUAACUAGUUGACAUGCCACUCGUUCAUGUUUAGUGUUUCUACUACACUAGUUCAAUGCCACUCAUCUAGGCUAUACAUGUCUAAGUUCAUCUCAUUGUGCCACUAUAGGAUUCCAUGUCACAAGACCCAAUCCUCAUGCGUCCCUAGUCCAUGUGUCAAGCCCUCGAUGCUACACUACUAAGAAAGCAUGCAAGAAAUUAGAAUUGCAACUAUCUACUAUCCUAUAAUGCAUAAUAUCCAUAUAUGAUCAAUAUAAAGAACUUAGACAUAAAAAGAAGCUCGGUUGCUUCGGGAUGGACACCCCCCACCUUUUGGUGAUGUCUUGAAGCUACGAAUCCGUUUCUGAGAUUUUAGAAAGCUUACGCCGCAAGCUGCGGCAAUCUGUACCUCUACGGCUUAUUUCCUCAAUAUCUUCACGUACGCUCGUCGUUUCGCCGAACCGAGCACACCAACGCGUCAGAAUACCUACCAAUUAGGUUAGAGAAAGGUCAAUCAAGAUCAAAACCCUCCAUGAACAAAAGCCUUUUUUUGGAUGCCCUAGAAGCCCCAAUAUUGCAAUAGCUCUAUUCUAACAUUUAUUCUUGCAAUUAGUGAGUUCCAUUACUUCUAGAGGUCUAUUAAAGUCCAUCUAGCUAGGUUCUAAGAGAUCAAAGCAAACCCUAAGCUACUUGCCAUGAGAGAGGGUUGAAGCUUACCUCUACUAGCUAGACCAAAGAGAGGAAGAAGAGGUGAGGAAGAUGGUAGCUCUCCUCCUGAUCUCUUUCUCCUCCUCCUUCUUCUUCUUCUUCUUCUCCUCCUCCUCCUCCUCCUCCUAGAGAGAGAAAGAGAGGUGUGUGUGUAUGGGAGUGUUGGAGAGAAUGAGAAAAAAAGAGAGGGGAAAUGCCCACUUAACCCCUCUCAUGCUACAAUAGCAUAUAAGCCCCUCCACUUUGCCUCUUGUGCACUGCCCAGACUGGGCAGAUUUCGCAUGCGGGGACCAGUCCCUCUACAGGAGGACCGGUCCCCGAGAGCAGCCUCACAUGCAGAGCCCUCUGUCAGCCUCUCCACGCGCACAGGGACCGUUCCCUUGCUGAGAGACCGGUCCUCGAGGGUCCGGUCCCCUGCCAAGAGACCGGUCCCCGAGAGCACAAUUCUGCGCAGAGGCCUCCUGCCUCUUCUCCACGCGUACGGAGACCGGUCUCUCCCGCCAGGGACCGAUCCCCAAGAGCAAAAAAUGGCAGGGCAGCCUUUUGCUGCCCUCCAUACCUACGGGGUCCAGUCCCUCACCACAGGGACCGGUCCCCGAGAGCUAAAAACUGCAGUCUUGCAGAUUUUCUCCCAGCUUGCUCUCGUGACCCCUCCUCAAUGCACUCUUCGUAUUUCCGACAUCUUCAGCCUUUCCGAAGCGUAUUAACACGACCCAUGGUCGAUUUUAAACGAAGUCCAACUCUCGUAUUUCGAGAAUUCACUUCCUUACAAUUGGGGCGUCACAAACUCCCCCCGUUUAGGCCCUGACGUCCUCGUCAGCCCUAAACAUACACACAGCCCAAAAUAUACACACAGCCCAAAAUCACGAGGUGAUGUGAGACUUGUCUCGCUGACCUUUGUUAUUUCGACCCUGACUUAGCCUAUCAAUCACCGACCCUAGCUUAAUCUGUCAUUCCGACCCUGGCUCAACCAAUACUCAUCUCACAUUUCCGACUGGUGAACUGGCUCUGAUACCAAAUGUAAUGACCCAAUCCGCUAGCAACAAUAACUCGUUAGGCCCAAACCACCGGCCUAAAAUGCUUAAGCCAAGUUAUUAUUAUUAGUGUGUCCAUUACUUAUAAACACAUCAAACUCUCCCAUAUUAUCCGAUGUGGGACUAUUGGGAUAUUACAUUAAGUUCAUGAUAUCAGGGGGCAGUCUUAUCAGGAAUAUUAACACAAAUAACCGCUUUUGUGCCAAUGAAAUGAAACAUAUAUGUAUAUAGAAGAACUUCUAAAUAGGACGGGAAUAAGCAAUGAAAAAUAUAUUUACUGACAGCGAAACAUAUAAGUAAAAGCGAGAAGGUCAUUCAACUGUCUCUAAGUCAGUAUUCAACCUGCACACAAGGAUUAAGCUUGUAAAAGGAAGAUGAGAGAAAACUAGCAUAUUAUGCCUAGUAAUAGAUUCAGAUUUCAGAUAUAAUGACUUCCAAACUUCUCAUUGAAGAAUUACACACAAUGGCAUGCUUGAGUUUUUCAAACUGUUAUUAGCAUGAAUUAAGCUACAUUGGCUUUUCUUAUUAGAAAUGAUUAGAAGGAUAAAAGCUUUGAGAAUAUCAAUUGACUCAAGUGUCUAUAGAAAAGUAGAAAACGAGUUUGGUUUUGUCGUAUAAGCAAGUACAUUUUUGGGGCAUAAGAAGCCUCAAUGCAACUAACUCCAUCUUUUCAACAGUACUAACACUUUUUAAUGUACUACCAAAGUGUACGUGCAACGCACGUAAGAUAUUUAAAAAUAAAUAGUAUAAUAUUUUUUAAAAUAAUUCAGAUCAAAGGUGAUGCUUAUAUAAUCAACAAUUUCUAAAAAGAUCAUUAAUGAAUAUUCAUGAUUUUUAAAACUUUAUUAUAGUUGUAUAAAAAUAGUGAAAAUUUUCUUGAUCUAAGGUCGCUGAAGAGAGAGGAUUUAAUAAUCCUUUUAAGAAAAGAUGUAAGGACCUAAUGUUAUUUUCUAUUUUAAAAUAGAAUAAAUAGAGGUUUCCAGAAAACAGAAGAGGAUUUUCAUCCGUUCCUGAAAAGAUGUGACGGUAUAUUUAAUUUUUUAUUAAUUUAAAAAAUUAAAUAAAUUGGAGGGAUAUUAUUUAUUUAAUACAUAUUUCUAAUAGAUUAAUUUGAAUGAUUGGAUAUAAUCUAAUGAAUGAUAGGUGAAAUAUAUAUCAAUUUAUACACACAAAUUGAUCCAAGCAACAUUUACAAUCAAACAAUAUACAAAAAUUAUUAAUCAAUAAAAUCUUCUUUAUGAAUUAGCCCCCUAAACUUUUUUUGAUUGAGACAUGCUAACUAUUAAUUUUAGCCAAAUAAAUAAAAGUUAAACCAAAAUUUUUAAAUCCUAAAUAUAAAAUUCCAAAAAAUCGAUUAAUAAAAUACUCUAUAGCAAAAAAAAUGUAUUAAAUAACUAAACAAAAGUUGGAAAGAUAUCAAUUAAAAAAUAAAUUAAUAAAACUUGGGGAAUCUAUUUGAAAAUUGCCUAUAAUUGACACGAUAUCUCCAUAUCUUUCCCUCCCCCAUCCUUUCUCUCUGCACCAACGUGUCGUGCAACUAUUUUUGAAAAACGUGUGGUAUAAGUAGUUAUAAACAUAUUUUAAAAGAAAAAAUAAUAAGAAGGGUAACUUAGUCUAGAAAAAUGACAAAUACUUUUUGUUUCAUUCAAUGGAUAAGAUCUGACGGUUUAAAAUUAUUAUAGGAUACUAUUAUCUAAAACAAAUAAAAAUAUCUAAUGACUAUAAGAUAUUUACUAGAAAACGAAUCGUUGGAUAUUGCUAGGAAGUAAUUGACAUUACAUUAUAGCCAAGGGAAAUUUUGGAAAAAAAAAGAAUCAAACUCCCUCUUUUAUUAGUAUUUAUUAUAUUAUGAAUUGGGAACCCACCAAAGCCUCCCCGCGUUUGGCAGGGAGCUUUGGUCCCUCUCUCUUGCAUUUUUUUUAUUUUUCCUCUCUCAACAUUUUUUUUUAUUUUUUCCUACAACAAAUUUUUUUUACUUUUACUAUAGAUAACAAAAUUAAAAUUUUAUCUAAUUUGGAACUUAAAGAAGGCCUUCCGUUAUUAUGGGAUUGUGGGGUCCACAAAUUUUGUUGAGAUUUUUUUAGGAUUAAUUGCAUAGUGCUGCCCAAACUUUCCACCAUUUUAUUUUGGUUCAUAUUUUUUUUUUACAAUAAAGUUUUCAAACCUCUUAAUUUCAUCAUGAUAAAAUAGCAACCGUUAAAAAUAUUUUAUAAUUAUCGAAAUUAUCAUGUCAUCGCCUAUUUAAUCUUUUUUUUCAUACCAAUUGUGAUCCCUAAAUUUUAUAUGCUUUUCACUUUAGUCCGCAAAACAUAUAUGAAUUGGUAAUCCUAAAGAAGGCCUCUCCUUAUUUUGAAGGUUUGUGGGGCCCACACAAUUUUUUAAAGAAUUAUUCAUACCAAUUUUGAUAUAAAUAAUGUGAAACUUCAAAUAAAUGUCUUUAUGCAUGCGCAGCUUAGCUAUAUAUUAUUAGUAUAUUACCCGCAACUUAGGUAUACACAAUUUUUUUUGACAAAAAUAAAAUUAUCUAAAAUUUCAAGUGGAGAAUUUCUUAUCCUUCAAUUUAUGUAUGUUAUCUCAUGUAUAACAUCCUUCAAUUUCUUAUCCUUUGGUGGGUCCCUUUUUUUUUUUCCCUCUUUCUCUCUCUCUCACUUUCUUUUUUUUUCCCUCUCUCUCACUUUCUCUCACACAUCCUACAUCUUUUUUUUUCUCUCAAUAUUUUUUUUUUUAUGCUUUAAAUAUUUUUCGAAAGAAAUAUACUUUAAUUUCAUUCUUUAAUUUUAUUCUUUAAUUUUAAAUUAUUCAAUACUGGGACAAAUAAUAUUGAAAAAUAUUAAUACAUAAUGGAAAAAAAUUGAUAUUAAUAGUUAUAAUAAUUUACUGUUAUAUUGUCUUUUCGUUGCAUCGCGCCCGCCGCAUUGCGCGGGGCGCUUAACUAGUAGAUAUAGAUUUGCACUCAAAACCUCUUGUUUUCUACCAUUAUAUAGUGGUUUGGAUAUGAAUUUUUAGUUCUCAAACAAAUUCAAACUCAAUUUUUUUAAAGGGUUAAUUGCAUACAGCUCCCUGUAAACAUAGCGAAUUGCAAAUAUAUCCCUACAAAGUUCAACUUUCUUAUGUUAUCUCUGCAAAAGUCAAGCAAUAUUCAUAUUUGUCUUCUGGUUUGUUAUCGUUAGAGAACUGUUUAUUUUUUGACAGCAGACAAGUGAAAUGCCAAUUUUUGUCAUCACAAAUAUAUCCCUCCAAAAGUCCCAACUACUAUAAUUGUGCAGAAAUGUCCCCCAAAAAAAUUUUCAAUGGUCAUCUUCUUUCUUAUCUUCUUCCUCUUUAAAACCCACCCAAUCCACCAUUGUUGCAAUCUCUUACUCUUUUCUCCUAAACCUUUUCUUUUGAGCAAAAUAAGAAAAAAUUAUAGAGGAAAUUGAGUGGGAAAGCAACACGCGUUCAACAUGGGCAAAACAACAGGUGUCGUGGAUGUAUGGGGAUAGAGAAAUUCUAGUUACAGGUUCCAAACUAGCAUGAAGAAGAGAAAGGAAGAGGAAGAGGAAGAAGAAGAAAAGUUUCCAUUGCUAGGAUUUUAAUUGAGAAGAAGGUAUAAUAUAAGAGAGUUAAAAAUGUCAAUUUACCUCGUUGACUAACCAAGGUUAAGUAUUUUACCUAUGGUUAACUAAAUUUUUUUAACAGAUCCUAAUGACAGGGGCAUAUUUGAAAACAUUAAGACUUUUGCAGGGAUAAUAUAAGAAAGUUGAACUUUGUAGGGAACUAGGGAUAUAUUUGCAAUUCGCUAUGUUUACAGGGAGCUGUAUGCAAUUAACCCUUUUUUAAACGUUUCAAAUACUAUCAACUUGUUUGUGCUUGACAAACGAUGCUAGACAUAUUCGAAUACAAAAUAAAACUGUGACGCCCCAACUUUCCAGGUGGUCACCCAUCUUAGGAAUACUCCUGUCCUAACACGCGUAACUCUCUUAACCUCUUGAGCCUAGCCACCGCCCAAAAUGCUCAAUCCGGGUUAAGAGUUUUAGCCCUAUUAUAUCUUAUAUAUAGAACUAUCUGCGGUCUCACAAAAACGAAGAUAGUCUAGGAUGCAUGCUAAUGAGACCAAAUUAGUAUCUAACAACACUUGCCCCAGGCAAGACAUUUAAUAGUGCUUCAGGCAUAACAAAUAUUACAAAAGUAAAAUCAGGUAAGUAGCUUGAAGUUUGAUCUUGUGGUAUGUGGUUUGCAUAAAGAACAAAAAGGCAUUUCGAUAGAGAACAAUACAGAUACCUUGUUUAUAGAAGCAUUCAGCAAUUGAUAGGUUGUUUCCUUUCUUGAGAAUUUAGUACAAAGGUGAAGCUGCUGAAUAUUCUGAAAUACAUAUAAUAAAAGUUCAGCGUCUGUCCAAUACAAGUGCAUAUCAUGCUGAUAAAGAAACUAACAUAUUUAGCAGGAAAAAAAUGAUAUGAAGAUAUAGUGAAUACAAAACAAAAAUUCAACAGCGUACAUUUGCAUAAAUACACCUUUGUAGUUUACCUUAUAACUUUACAACAUAAAAGGUUCGGAUAUAAAUUGUAUAAUCAUAAAAAAUGCUACAAUAUAGCUAAGUGCAGUGGCUUUCUAGAGCAUUGUUAUAUCAUAAAAUGAAAGAAAUACAACACAACAAAGAGAUAUAAGUUAAUCUCAAAAGUAGUAGCUUCUAAAGAAUUGAGUACCGGGCACAUAGUUAGGGUCAUAUAAUUUACAAUCAAACUUCUUUGUAGUCAGAACGAAGUUAAGUAAGUCUCAAACAACAAUCCGCUCUCAAGACUGUAAUAUGGUUUCUCAACGUCCAUUAGAACAAAUUUCUCAAUGAAAAUGUCACGAUAUUGUGCGUAUUACUAUCAGAAUAUUUUCAAGUAUCAGAAUAUUGUUACAUUUAAUUUCUAAUUCUCCUAUGAGAAAACCAACGAAAUGCACAUUUUUCAUUAGGAUGCUUAUUCUGCAUUUAUGUAUAAUAAAGCAGCCAUUGUUAACAAUCUGUGAAGCCCUAUGCAGGAGGAUCAAGUGGAUUAUUGAGGAAUGCACAUAGAAGUUUGGGUGUCAAAUCAUACACAAAUGGAAUCUAACAUCUGAAAGAACAUGAAAUUGCGAACAAUUGGGACAUCUCCAAGUCUAAACACUGGAUCUAUCAUUUCUUGCACCAAUAAGCUCACAUAUUAGAACCCUGUACCAAAUUCAAAUUGACCAGCACAGAGCAAUCCAAUCAAAACCUUCAAAAGAAAAUCAUGGAACUUGGCAAAUACACAUAACUUGAUUCCGACAGCUAACAAACAUGUAACAAAGUAUUAUUGUCUCAACAAAGAAAAUCAUUGAAGGUCAAUAACAACAAACAAAAGUAUAAUCUAAAGAAUAGAGCAAUCAAGAGAGAUAUGCAACUACUUCAUAUGCAUAUUACCAACCAUUCUUGCAAAAUGAGCCAUCUAUUAUCUGAUCAAUGAUUUAGCACAUGCCAUGGAAAAAUUAUGUGCCAAAUGAUGGCCUUCAGAAUAGAAUAUUCAAUAUUUGUGUGUACCAUGUGGAACAAAAGGUAAAGAGUCACCAUGCAAAGGCAGCAGCAAUUGUAACAAUUUGAUGGAAAAUAUCUCUUAGAACCUAGCAGGUCAUGAUAAGGUGCAUAAACAUAAAGUCUAUACAUGAAGAAAGUAGAUAAAUUCUAACAUGCAGUAGAAAGCAUUUGUAAAUUACAAAUUUAGAUCAUCUUGAAACUUAAUUGAUUUACUUACAAUCUUCCCUACUGGAAAUAUUCCAAAUAUACUGAAGCAAAUGAAUCCAUUCUUAUCCCCGCUGCAAAGAAUAUUAAAUCGUUGGCACGGAGCACCUGAUAGAUCGUGAAUGGCAUCUUCUGAGUCAUCCAUGAGGUCAGUAUCUCCUGAAACCAAGCCAGGCAUCCUCGGAAUUCUUGGGGCAGGAGGAAAGAAACGCACAGUGCGAUCUUCAUAUGUUAAGAUGUGGUCAUCGUCGCUCGGCUGUCAUAUGACCCAUAAUAUGGGAGAAACAAAAUAAUCUUCGAUAAGCUGAAAGAAAGCAUUAUAGAACUUGAAUAACUUGUUCCAAAGGAUGAGUUUUUUUUUAACUCAAAUACAAGUUAUGCUACAUUAAACAAGGAGACGAUAAAAGCAGAAUUUGAGACAGCAAAGCAUAGAGAGGUGCCUAAGAAGUACAAUAUGACCAGUGAAAAAGUUGCAUGCAGAAUAGCCAAAAUGUUGUCAAAUCCACAAACAGUACAAUACAACCUAAAAACAUGAUUAAAAAAAAAAAAAUCAUCCUGUUCAAGUUGUCAGUCAAGUAGCUGGAAGCUUCUCCUACCAAUGAAGAAUACCCCUUUCUUUUAAGUCUGCAAUAUGCUUCUCUAGUCAAAUGUAAUUUUGAAAAGGGAUCUUCCAAAUUGAAUAAGCUUCUACGGUUGCAAUCCCACCACAUUAUCAAUUGAGAGAAGCAUGUGAAUGAAAUGGAGAUUACACAAAUGAAAUGCAAAUGCUCAAAAUUUGAACUAAAUGAAACACAAGGUUUCCAAAAAUCAAAUAAUAAUUAUAAUAAUGCCAAUCAUUUUUUUUAACAAUCCAAUUGUUUGGGUAUUAUUACCAAUAUGGAUUGUCAUAUUUGAUCUCUAUUUUAUUGGAAGAAAACACGAAAUCAUACCAUUGUUGCCAGUACGUCUUCCUCCCAAUUCAUACAGACAACAGCUGCAUCAUGAGACUUGAUGCUUUUUAAUAACCUCCCGUUCUGCAAUGAUAAACUGUUCUCAAUAUCAGUCUGAUUCCAUUAAUGAAUUGUCAAGUGAGACUAUUAUAGCAAAAUUUUAAAACAAAAACAAAAUGCAAACCAGAAAAAUAUUCAGAUGAGAACAUAGUAGACAAAAAAGUUAACUAUUUAUAUAUUCCACUAUGUAUAGGUUAUUGUGUGUGUCUAGCACAAUACUGCUUCCAUAUUAAAGAUUGAACCAUCGUAAUAAAACUUUAGUUUUUAAAAGUAAUAUCUCUUAGUAAGCGGUAAGCAGGGGUAGUUAGGUAAGAAUAUUUAGCAUGGUAUAAGUUCUUAUGUUAGAUGUCACUACAAUAGCCAGAUUCUCUCUAUUAACUUCUUGGUGCCUAUAUACAAGAUUUAAGAUGGCGACUUCACUCUUUGAACACCACCCAAAAGAAGGGACGAAGGAAAGGUAGAUGCAUAUGCACAACAUACAGACACGUGAAAAGAGAGAAAGAGACUCUGCAGACACAUGCAAACAGAGAGAGUCAGAGACAAUCCUUCACUAGAAAUUGAUUCUAAAUUCAUGCUAAAACAAAUUUGAAAACAGCUAUAUGGAUUGCAAUUUGUUUUAGGUCUCGUUAGGAAUAUGGAUUGCGAUUAGUUUUACGUAAGGAACACAUGUUCGAGAACAUUAGGGGUCUGUUUGGAUGCAUGAAUAUCGUAUUCAGCAUAUUUCUUUUGCUUGCUUAAAGAGGCAUCUGGUAAUUGCUUGAUGGGAACUAUGAAAAAAAUGCCUACAAUCAUGUUGUACACAUGGCCUCCAAGUAAUUAUUCUUGGAAUAUGAUAAAUGGCAUCAUAAGUGGAAUACAUUAUCCUAAAAGAUCAUUUUUUGUAGACCACACAACAGAAUAAAAUCAAAUUCUAAGGUUGCAAUAACAACCAAAAAUCUCCACAUGACACUAGUUACCCCCAGAUACUAACAUCUAAACAGGCCCGAAAUAAAAAUUAAAAUGGCAUGCACAACUAAUAUAACCAAAACCCAGAAUAUAAUAGAAUGAAAACACAUUUCAGUAACCUAAAGAAUCAACAUUGAGAAACAGUUGAAUAUUCUAAGAAAUCUUUUCUGAACACUUUUAAAGAAUGAUGAACAAUUUAUAACAAGGCCAACAUUUGUAAUGCUGAACUUCAGUCAAUGAGCUACUUAAUAAAAUAAUCCAGUUAUACCAUAACACAUAAGCCAAUAUCAAUAGGGAGCUUCCCAUAACAAAAUUUUCAACUCUUUCAUUUUUAUUUGCUUGAGAUACGGACCUCCACAUCAUGUAGAAGAAUUGAACCAUCUUCGAUACCAAGAGCUAUGACUUUACCAUCUGGGCUCCAACAAAGAGACGUAAUACAUUUCCCUAAGCAGAAUAAAAUGUGACAGCAGUAAGCUGAGCAGGAUAUCCAAAUUUACAAACCAAACAAUAAGCCUACACAAGAAGCAAUUAUAGCAGCUAGAUUGCCACUUUUAAGAAAAUGCAAGAGAACUUAAAGAAACAAAUUAUCUGAAUCAUGUAAAUUUUUUAACUUUUGUUUAUCUAAUCACUAGAGUAAAAUAGAAGUUUCUGGUUACUUAUUCUAAAUUAUCAUCAUCUUUGUUGCUAUCAUUAUUCAAUCUAUUCUUGACAACUAAGGGGUUCGGCUAGAGUGCAAAAAUGAGAGGGCCCCACAUUUGCAAUCUUAUACAGCUUCAUUGUUACGAAUUUGUAUGUGUUUACAAGCUGAAAAAUGUUAGAGCCAAUGGACCAAGUUAAGCAUUGACCAAGUCAACCCUAAAGCACGGUGCGAUUCGGCUGUGAAUGUGACCUCGAAUGUUAAAAGAUCUGACUUCUUUGAUUCAAGCGACGGGUUGAGGGGAUCCACUCAACCAGGUUCUAACUUGUUCGAAGUUUCUUAGAACUCUUGAGACUAGAACUUGCAAAAUAUCGGUUGAACGACAAGCCGAACUGACUAGAAUUUCAUUAAUUUUGAAGAGAACUUAGAGAUUACAAAGAAAGAGCAUGAGGGCUCUGAUUACAGUUUAUAAAACUAUGUCUAACCUACAAAUAUUCCUACAAAAACUAUAAAUACAAGGAAUUAAAGUAAAAAAUCAGUGGUCGUGUUUUCGGGAAAGACUUUGUUUGAAUGUAACUUUCCUCUCUUUAUAGAACUCUUCUUAUGUUUGCUUACCUUACGGUUGUUGAACGGCUGCUACCAUAUGGAAUGUGCCUGACCAUUUUCUCUUCUGUUGUACAAUCGUUUCCCACAUCCCUUUGAUUCACAACUACUCCCGCCAAAACCCAUUUGGUUUAGGCUUGUGUUUCUCCCGACUAUAGGAGUACCAUGUGUUACUUUCUCAUUCGACUACGUAAGCCGAGUUUGAUCACCAACUGGCGGAGAAAUUUCAUGUUCCAACAAUGCCCUCCCGAUAGUUUUUCGAGCGAACAUUCGGAUGGCUAUCGAUUCUAGGCCAUGAUGGUUCUAUUGUAUUUUCUUCCACUUUGCCGAACUUUCUUGAACCUAGCUGUUGUUACCCAAUAGAGCACUUACGGACUUACGUUUGGCCAACCCGAGCCUCAUACUUCUGGUCAUUACAAGUACUUCCGAGAUUAUUUUCAAGUUUUUUGCUCUGAAGAUGGUGCUCAUCCAUCAGAACAUUGGACCCUUCUUUGUCACCGAUCAGUCGAUCCUCGGUGGUUAAGGGAAAGCUUCAGGUACAUUCGUCAUCAAAUGAAUUCCCCAAGAGUAAUCUACCAUAAGGAAAUCUGGUAUUCUUUCUUGAACACUUGAGAUGUACACCCUGAAGUGCAAGUCUAAGCCACCGCCUAAUACCAAAGUUUACUCUCCUUACUUUGUCACAAGCGAGCUCGAAUUGAUUUAAGCUCUCCUAGCUCCAGUAAAAUUUUUUACUGAGAACUUUGCUCAAGCUCGCCAGACCCUCAAGAGUUUAGCUGAGGCCAACUGGGUUUCUGCCAUGGGGAAGAAAUUGAGACAAGACUUCGUCCCUGUCGUCUUCCAACCAACAGAAGUUAUGACGAUCGACAAUCUUUAUCGGCAAUCUUGGAGUGACCUGUGCAACAUUCUCUUUGCCUUGACUCUAGAGAACUGUUUGGCCAAAUUCGAUUUCGAAUCUUAAAUCUGAAGGUCUACAAUCUUCUUCGCUUUUUCUUUCAAAACCUUUCAGCCAUUUCAUAUAGCUUAGCUUGUUUCUGCUUUCACUUCGGUCUCAAGCAGGCUCAUCUAAGAAGAAAAGGGAAUAGAAGAAUCUUCUACAUACGAUGUUUCAGAGGAUGACUCUGACAAUUCUUCUCCUCCCCAGCAAUUCUGAAAAUUUCUCUACUAUUCAAUCUUCAUUUUGUUUUUUCAUGUUUUUUAUUUAUUAUUAUUUUACUUGGACCUCUUUAGUCAGCUCCUUCCACCUGACCAAUUCGUAUCUCCCCAUGGCAUGCCGUCAAACAGCAAGCCGAGAAGAUCCUCGUUCAGCUGCAGAAAAGGAGGUCCAGGCCUACGAACUACAAGAGUCGCAGGCCUUGAUUGAUCAGCUUCAAGAAGAAAGCUAAAGAAGAAAGAGAAGGCUUCUCAGAUACAAACCGAUGUAGAGCCACCAAACAACCUAGAAAGAUUUGGCAAUUCCCCAGCAACAAAAGGAAACGGAUAAGAUUCAAAUUAAAUGAGAACUCAAGGGGAAAAAAAAGGAAGAGAUUAGAGCGUUGGGAGUAUAACGAUAAAGAGAGCAUCUUCAAUCUAUGCGUUUGGAUGGUCAUCCACAUAUAGCUCAAAGGCUCAAUAUUAAUGUGCUAUAUCUUAUUUCGCAACAGAUGGCAUGAGAUUUGAAAGCAACUUGUUCCAAAGAGCGUCUUUCUUAUCCAAUGAUUAUCAUGAGGAUCCUUAGGCUACACGACAUGGAUACAAAUUGCAAAACAUAUGAGCACUUGGAACAAUCGACGCUAUCACUAUGACAAAGUCUACGAGUACUUUGAAGACUUCACAAAAGUCUUCAAAAGCAACCUGAACUGCCAUCCAACACUCCUUGUCCUCAACACGAGACUUCUUGUAGUGCACUGAACUUCGACAAAUUGCCGAGUUCUAAUGAAAAGUCUAUUUGAAUAGUUUUAGCGAGGUUUGGAGACUAUUCCAGUGUUUUCGACGCGAAUUAGGUGUGAAACGAACUUCGAGAAGUCAAACUGCUAAAGUUGCAGAUUUUGUAUUGAGUACCGGUACUAAAAAAUGGAGUACCGGAACUCUGUACUGUGGUAAAGAAACCAACAUUCAAAUUUUGAGGAACUCUUCCCGAGUAUCGAUACUGAUACGCUGAGUACCGAUACUGAUGAGGGUAAGUACCGGAAUGCAGUAGAGAAUCCAAAAAUCCAACAUUCGAAUUUUGCGGAACUGGGUGGUUGGUAUCGGAACUAAAGCUCCUGCAUCGGUACUCAAGUUCGAGUACCGAUACUCAACGCUGCGAAAGCGCAGUUUUAACUAGUUGCAAAUAAUUGAAUAUGGGGGACUUAGUUACAAUUUUUGCAACCCAUAUAAAAAAGAGAAACCCUAGCCAUUUCCCCUACUUAGACACAAAGAGAAAACUCUUCUCUUCUCUUCCUCUCACUCUCUUCUCCUCUCCCUCACUCUAGAGAUCUUCCCAACACUUUGAGAUUUGGAGGCAUUGAGCUUGGAGAAGCUUUUGGAGGUGUGGAGCCUUCUUCUUGAGCAAGAAGAAGUAAGAAAGCUUGAGGCUAAGGUGAGUUUGUUUUAGGGUUUUGAGAAGGAUUUGGAUUGAAUCCUUUGUAAGUUGAUUUUUAUCAAACCAUAGGCUAAUCUAGACUACAAAUUGUAGAGCAAUUGAAAUUGGGUUUUGCCACAGUUUUUGAAAAGCCCUAGAUAAAAAGAGGGUUUUUGUUAUUGGAGGUUUAAAAAUUAUUUAACCAUUUGGAACCCUAAUUGAAGGUUAAAGAAACGCGGGGGACAACUUCAUUUCUCGAAAUGAAAGGAUCCUGAUGGUCAAUUGGAGCAACGAACAAAUUUGGGCAAAUUAGCUUGGAGCAGAGCAAGCCUAGUUGCAAGUUUCAAGUAACUAAGAGCGUAUUGAGGUCGGUUGUGUUGCACCAAAGUGAAUAGGUCACUUCCAUGUCUAAUAAGUAGAAAUGCAUGCAUGUGAUAUAUAUGUUAAUUACAGUAACUAAUUAUCAUUGGAUAAGUAAAUGCAUGUAUUGCUAUAUUCCAUACCUAUGUUAUGAACUAGAUGUAGGUUGACAUUCUCUAGGGUCAUUAGAAAACUCAACAUGUGAACACACAAGAACAUAGUGCCAUUGAACAUAGGUUGGAAAACAUAGUGGAUAGGAUGCCUACUUGGAUAUGAUAACAUGGACCUAGUGAUGUUGACAAUGUAGGGUAAACAAUGAACCCUCCGUGAAAUUAUAAAAGCAGCGACUCCGCUACCCAUAGACAUGGGGCCAAACAGGAACGGCGAUUUCGUUUCCCCGGUACCCAAUGAACGCGGCGAUUCAGCAACUUUAUAAACUUGUGGCUAAGCAGUGCAAUGAUUCUGCUACCCAAUGCUAAGAUGAGAGCGGCGAUUCUGCAAAUGAUUGACUCUAGAUAGAGUUGGGUGACAUGUGAUUAGGAUAAUCAAUAAUGAAAUAGUAAGCAGAAACGAUAGAACUUACAUGCUUGUCUUUCAUUAUCGCAUAAGUAGAGGCAUAAACAUGAGUAUUUUUCAUGUAUAUAGGAGAGACACAUAUGCUAAGUUGACUACAUGUUAUCUAUUUGUACAUGCUUAUGUUGCCUUCUUUGGACCUGACGGGUCGAGCUCUUCCCUUGGAUUGUAUUUGGGAAAGUAUAAAUGUAAAUAAUGUGGUGAAAUGAUGUAAUAGAAAAAUAGUUUACUUUAUGUCAUUUGAUAUUCUCCCUAUGCAAUCCUUGUAUUCUAUUUCUGUUUGGAAUGUGAGAUGUAUAUAGGCUUGUGACUCCUUGGGCAGAUAGAGAAAACUCUGUCCGUUCGUCAAGUUUGUGUGCGUACUCGAUAAAUGCUUCCGUUGUGGGCUCGGGGCAUGACACUUCUUCUUCUUCUUCUUCUUCUAGCAGUUUACAUGGGAAGAUUACCUUGUUGUUCUUAUAUAAGGAAGACCGCAAAUUGUCAAAGAAGGUUGAUUGCCUUUCGACAAAGCUCAACAAUGUUACUAACAUGGUGAAGAAGAUUUUCGAGAAACUUCAUUAUCAACCUGAUGAUGUUCAAACUUUGGUCAUGAAGAAGGUUCAGAUUGAUGUACUUUUAGAUUGGUUGCAUCGCAUGUAGUUUAGGUUUUUCUUUGCACCUUAUCUUUUGCUCGUGUUGUAUUUAGGUUAAUCUUUUGCUUUCUUUACUUCUCGUUGCCUAUGAUGCAUUAUGUGUUGGAACUUUAGUACCUAGUCCUUUACCUAGAUUCAUGUUUGCUUUUAUUAUCGUUUCUCUUUUUGGCAAUUUAUUGACAAAAAAAGGAAGAGAUAAGGAGAGAAUGAACAAAGGGCAGAGUACAAAGGGAUAGAGAUUAUAACAUCUUGACAUGAACAUAGGAACAUAGGGAAACUUUGAGACAUUUUAAGACAUUUUAAAAUAAUGACAUGUUCAUGGAGAAUGUUUGUUUUUACAAGGCGUACAAUACUUCAAGACUCCUAGUGUGUAACACACUGAACUUUAGCAAAUUGUAAAGUUCGAGUGUUUGAUCUGUGUUCUGAGUUUUUUCAAGUAUUCUGGAGGGUCGUUGACAGUGUUCCAAACUAUGACUCGCGUCCCGAGGAGUGAGGGUGAAAACUUAGCGUCAAAAUCUCCAAAAUGAGGAAUUUGGGCUAUUCGCCAGUUGACUCUGCAGGGCAGAGUACCAGUACCGCAUCGGCUUGGUACCGGUACUGGACCUGGUACCGGUAAUGCAUCGUAUGGUACCGGUACCCAGUGCGUUUUCUCGCCAACCCAAGGCUCGGGUUUGCGCGUGCUGCUGCCUGGUACCGGUACCAAAUCCCGUGUCACCGGUACACAGUGCAGACUGCGAACUGCUUGUUGUUGAGGGGUGUUUUUGGUUUUGUUACAACACUAUAUGUAACCCACACCCCCUCUUGUGUUCCCUGAGCUUGGAGACAGAGGAGAACCAGGUAGGGAAGCCCUCCUCACCUCCUCUUUGAUUUUCUUUCCAUUUUGUUGGGAUUUUUGAGGAUUGAUCACCUCUUUUUGCUUCCCUUUGUUUGUUGGUGGCAUUUCCACCAUGGGAGAAGCUUUGGAGCUUGGAUUAGAGCUUGUUGGAGGAGAGAUCUUCUACCCUAACUCAUUUCAAGUUUAGUUUGGAGCUUCUAAAAAGGUUAGUAACAUGUUUCUCUCAUUUGGAUCAUGUUUUUGGAGGAUUUUGUGUAGAAACCCUAGAAAUGAGAAAUCUAGGGUUUAUUUGGGGAUUUUUGAUUUGUAGCUUUUGGAGCUCAAUUGAUUGGUUUAUAACCUUCCUUUAGGUUGGUUUUGGAGUGCUCUAGCUUCCAUUUGGAAUUUGAGAGGAUUUUUCCAACAUUUAGGUGAGUUUUGCCCUUUUCUUGGGUUGGUUAAAGAUGAACACUUUGGGUGUUCGUUCGUUUCGUCUAACCCUCUUAGAAUUUUUUUUAGGGAGCAAAGAAACUUGUGGGCAUCUUCGUUCGCGCAAACGAAAGGGUUACAGGGAGUUCUUGGUGGGUUUGACCUCACCGAAAUGGGUGAACUCCCCCUAUAUUAUAUUCCUUAUUAUAAAAUGAAAAUUCAUACAUAUUCAUGCUAGAUAGAGCAUAAAUGAAUUUUAGAAUGUUUAAAACGCAUAUGUUAUGUAUCAUGACUUUUCACCUCUAUGUAAUAGAGAGAUAUGUGUAUAGCACUCAUGCUAGUAUAUGGCAUUCUCAUGAUAUGUUUGAAUAAUGUUACUUGUAGUGAAAUGACAAGCUUCUUCCUCGCUUAUGAACAUUGGACAUAUGCUAAACAUAGGGAUAUUAUAAUGUCAUGAAGUGGCAUUGGACUUGGAACAUGUAUUGUCAUAGAGAACCAUAAUGUUAUAAAGUGGCAUUAGAUUAGUAAGGCCCCGUUUGGAUACCCCUAAAAACGUAGUAUAGUUAAACUAUACUACACUGGUAGGAAAAUUAUCCUAUGAAGUGCUUGGAAGAAAAAAAAAAAAGGUAAUUUUUGGAGUAUGGUUAAACUAUACUCCAAAAAAUGGUGUAAAGUUAUAUCCACCCUAACCAAAGGAAAACAAUUCCACUAUUUUUGGGCAAAGAUGCAUCAAGUUCUAACUUUUAAAUUUCAACAUAAAAUUUUAAAUUUCAAAAUUUUUAAAUUUCAAAAUUUUUAAAUUAAAUUUAGAUUUUUAUAAUUUAAAUUUUAAAUUUUUAAAUUUCAAAUUUAAAAUUUAAAAUUUCACAUUUCACAUAUCAAAUUUUAAAUUUUAAAUUUCAUUAAAAUUUUAAAUUUUAAAUUUUAACUUUUAAUUUUAAAAUUUAGAGAAAUCCCGUGAAAUUGCACAAUGCGCAUCCAAACAGUUUAAAAAUUGAAUCCGUGGACUUUUUAGAGUUACAGGAUUCCCUAUUUUAUUUGGACCAAAACCACAGUUUAUAAAUUCCAUGGAGAUUUUUUUCUGUGUAUCCAAACGGGCCCUAAAUGGUUGAACAUUUAAAGGAUAUAGAACUAGACCUUUGGGGUUGCUAGUAUUAUACCAUGUUGAGACAUGAUGACCGAGUACUUGAGAUAAUGAUUACACUUGCUUGCCAUUUGUGCUCAUUCGCACAUGCUUGUGAGGGUCGCUCCCCACAAGCCGGCACUCCGGAGUUGGCCUAUGCGACAUAUACUCGCCGUGCGGGAUUGAGGGCCUACUGGGUCACCGUGGGACAAUCACAUUUCUAGAGAAAUGCUGGACUACCCGGGGCCAUUAGGCGACACAAGCCGAACUGCACUUUUGUAGGUCCUAGAUUGGAAAUGGAUAUAACAUGUAACCACUAAAUGACAAUUACUACUCAAGAGUAAAGAUUGGUUGGGCAUAGUUGCAUAUUUGUUGAUUACAUUUAGUGCAUAUUCGUAUACAUGCGGACAUGUUUGGAGCAUAUUAGUAUACGCAUUCAUGAUAGAAUUGUAAUAUCACCAAAUGGACACUAUGCUAAUUUGAAGCAUAGUAGCUUAGUAUAGUAUUAUACUUGUUAAAUUUACUUCUUGUUUAAUUUGAAGCAUAGUAGCAUAUACUUUUGUCUCUAUAGCCUAGUGGUGUAUUUCGCUGAGGUCGGCAACUUGCCCACUAAGAACUAUUGUUUAAUAGUUCUCACGCCCUCUUUUUUGUUGUUUUUAUUUCAGAGCCAUCCGCACCGGGAGAGGCUAGGGACCGCCGCAAAGGGAUCGCGUCUAGCUAGAUAGCGGUGUACAUUGCUACUAGGUGGUUAUCUCUCCUCUUUGUAUUGUUGGAUAGAGAGAGACUUUCGUACCCGAUGUAUAGAGACCACCAUUUUGUUUAUCUACCUUAUGUUUUAUCUUAGUCGUUUAGUUCUUUUAUUAUUCAUCUUGUCAUUAGAAUUUAGUUGUAAUCUUGCUCUGAUAUAUCUAGAUGCUUAUUUAUUGUUGCUUUAAUUAUCACUUUAUUGUAGACUCCUUAUAUGUUGCAGACAUAUGGCGGGUCUGGACACGCACCGGGCGGGCUUCCGCUGGGCCCCGAGGCGUGACAGAUUAUUUUGGUAUCAGAGCCUAGAGUUAAGUCUUAGUGGACCUAUCAAACCUUAGGCCGGUUGGACUAUAGGAAAUAGGCUCGUGAGAGACGGGGUCUAUUUGACUUGUAAGCGAAAGUAUCAUUAUUGGGUUUUAUGAUAACUCUAAAAGUGUUGGAGUUUAAUCGAAGUGCAUAACUUUUAACUUCGCGGAGGGUUACGUUGGCGGCCGACAACGUAACAUCGGGAGUUAGUAGUAAAGGGCAUUUCCUUACUUUUGCAUGAUUUGGGGUAUUAUUCUAUUGAGUGAGGUUACGAUAGCGUGAGUUUUACUAAUUUGCGCUUUUUAUGUUGUUGUAGUGAUUAUGCCGACGACUCGCUCUAAAUCUGUUGGAGCGGAGAAUGCGGCAAACCUUGAGGAGGUGGAGACCUCCGCUACCUCCGGAUCUAGUGAGGUCCGAGACUUGAGGACCCAGCUUGCGGUCCUUACUGAUUUAGUGGCUCAGCAGGCGGCGGCAGCUCAGCGGCAGGCUGAUGUGGCGCACCGACAGGAGACGUGGAUGAAGCAACUGGAGGACUUGCUACUUCAGCAGGCAGCUGCUUGGGAGGCUCAGGUUCCCGCACCACCCGCGCCGGUUGAGGAGGUGGCACCGAAGGCACCGUCCCCCGCGCCCGGUGUUCCACGAGCGGCGCCUAUUGUUGAGCCCUCGGGAGGAGGUUUUUGUGGCACCACCGGCUCAGGUGCCUACGGCAGGAGCGAUUUUUCCUGUGAUUGUUGAGGGAGCAGAGCGGGACCGGCUUAUGGAUCGUCUCAACCAGUUCAGGAGGUGCAACCCACAGAUCUUCGACAGGGAGAAAGUGGACCAGUGGAUCGUGGAGAAGUGGCUUAUGCAUAUGGAGAAAUUAUUCCACGACACCUUUGUGGAGGAGCGUGAUAGGGUAUGGCUCGCUACUCACCAUCUUGNUGUGGGAUAGAUUUUGGACGACAGCGAUGGGAUUGUGUGGUAAUGGAUGGUUAUGAUAGAAUCGUGGAGAUAUUGGGUGGUUAAGAUGGGAUUGCGGGAAUAUUGCGAAUUAGUCCUUUCCCUUUGAUCAUAUUACACCUUAAUCAAAAUAUUAUAUGAUUAAGGUGGGGCAUUUUGUAAAUAUACAAAAGGGAAUAGACUAAUAUGCUAUUUUAUAUACCGUGCGUAUUAUUUUUUUCGCAAUCCGGUGCAUGUUCAAAAUUUAAAUUUUAUCCAUGCACCUGGUGCAUGGAUAAUCUCAUAAAUCAUCUCUAUUUUUUAUUUCUUUCUCUCUCCUUUUUUUUUCUUUUUCUUCUUUUAUUCCUCUCUUUUUUUUUUUUUAUGCUUCAACAUAAACUUGCAAAAUUUACGUGUUGUUUACUUUAGCUUUAUUUACUACUUUUGCCUCUAUAGCCUAGUGGUGUAUUUCGCUGAUGUUGGCGGCUUACCCACUGGGAACUAUUGUUUAAUAGUUCUUACGCCCUCUAUAUUGUUAUUUUUAUUUCAGAGCCAUCCGCACCGGAAGAGGCUAGAGAUCGCGGCAAAGGGGUCGCGUCUAGCUAGAUAGCGGAGUACGUUGCUUCUAGGUGAUUAUCUCUCCUUUUUGUAUAGUUGGAGAGAGAGAGAGACUUUUGUACCCGAUGUAUAAGACCACCAUUUUGUAUUUAGUUGUAUCUUGUGGUUCUCUUGAUAUACCUAACUUUUAGUUUAUGAUAGUUAUUCAGUUUUAUUUGCUUCCAUUUGUUAUUAGAAUUUAGAUCUCAUUAUGCUCUGAUAAUCUAUUAGAUGCUUUCUUUCUUGCUUCGUUUAUCGCAUUAUUGUAGACCCCCUAUAUGUGUAGGCAUAUGGCGGGACACGCACCGGGCGGGCUUCCGCUGGGUCCCGAGGCAUGACAGAUUAUAUUGGUAUCAGAGCCUAGGGUUGAGUCUUAGUAGACCUAGCAAACCUUAGGCCGGUUAAACUAUAGGAAAUAGGCUCGUGAGAGACAGGGUCUAUUUGACUUGUAAGCGAAAGUAUUAUGAUUGGAUUUUAUAUUAACUCUAAAAAAUGUUCGAGUUUAAUUGAAGUGUAUGGCUUCUAACUUCAUGGAGGGUUACGUUGGCGGCCGACAACGUAACAUCAGGAGUUAGUAGUAAAGGACUCUUCCUUAUUUUCGCAUGAUUUUGGGUAUUAUUUUCGUUGAGUGGGGUUGCGAUAGCGUGGGUUUUAUUAACUUGCGCUUUUAUGUUAUUGUAGUGAUAAUGCCGACGACUCGCUCUAAGUCUGUUGGAGCGGAUAAUGCUGCAAAAUUUGAGGAGGCGGAGACCUUCGCUACCUCCGGAUCUAGUGAGGUCCGUGAGUUGAGAACCCAACUUGCGGUCCUUAUUGACUUGGUGAGUCAGCAGGCAGCAGCAGCUAAGCAGUAGGCCAAUGCGUCGCGCCGACAGGAGGCACGAAUGAAGCUACUAGAGGACUUGCUUCUUCAGCAGUCAGCGGCGAGGGAGGCUCAGGUUCCCCCACCACCCGCGCCGGUUGAGGAUGUGGCACCGCGGGUCCCCCGCGCCCGGUGUUCCACGAGUGGCGCCCAUUGUUGAGCCUCGAGAGGAGGUUGAUGCGGUACCACCGGCUCAGGUGCCUAUGGCGGGAACGAUUUUCCUGAUGAUGGUUGAGGGAGUGGAGCGGGACCGGCUUAUGGAUCGCCUCAACGAGUUCAAGAGGUGCAAUCCCCGGAUCUUCGACGGAGAGAAAGUGGACCACUAGAUCGUGGAGAAGUGGCUUAUGCAUAUGGAAAAAUUAUUCCAUGACACCUUUGUGGAGGAGCGUGAUAGAGUUUGGCUCGCCACUCACCACCUUGACGGCGAGGCCUAUCGCUAGUGGACGGACAUUCGGGACAACCUGAACACGGAUCUAUCGGCGAUCACUUGGAGACGGUUUAAGGAGCUUUUGAUGUCCAAGUAUUUUCCGGAGAGCGUCAACAGGCGGAUGGAAAAGGAUUUGCGCAGCUUGCGCCAGGGGGAUCGGCCUGUGGCAAAGUUUGAGCGGGAGUUCUCCCGACUCUUGCAUUGUGUGCCCUUCGUUGUGCGGGAUGACGAGGACAAGGCCCGUAUUUUCGAGCGUGGACUUCGGCCGUCGAUUUUUCGGUUUGUGCAAUCCUCCAACCUCCAGACUUACAGAGAUGUGGUAGACCACGCGCUCAUUGUGGAGAACGGCGCGGUGGAUGUUCAGGAGCAUCAAGAGGACUUAGACAAGGGUAAGGGAAAGAGGCCCGCGGCCGAGAGUGCAAGUUAGACGCAUUCUGGGAGGCCACCGAGGUACCCUAGGAGCCAGUCGCGAGGGCAGGAAAACAAGAUUAUUCCACUGAAGUUUUGGAAUAAGAUUUUAGUUUCUUCAGAAAUAGAAUGCUAGAAAACAAGUAUUCCCACUAUGUUUAGAAAACUAAUAUUGAAUUCUAGAAAUUGACACUUUAUAUAAUGUCAUUUCUUGGUCUAUUCAUGUUCCGAAACUCAAGAUGAUUUAUCCAAUUUUCUCUUCUUGGGUUAUUGUUCACGGUGCGGUAUUACAGAAACCAUUUCAAUUUUCAGAAACUACUUUCCACGUUGGGAAUUAGAGUUCUAAUCCGACUUUUAUGUGUUCCAAACUAUAAAUAUGUAUCCAAGCGUUCUCAAACGUGAUAAUCCACAAAACAUAUACUAGAGAGCAAUCCUAGAGGCUUUAAUUUCAUUUUUUUCUUCCAUAAAGCCUCUUCCGGAUCAAUUCAAGUUGCCUUAAUUUUUCGUUCUCACAUUGAAUUUAUCUAACCAUCGCUUAAAAAUCUCUUCAAAAGUGAUUAUGUGAUAUUCUAAGCGAAGAAUCACCACCAACCCUUCUUCUAGUUGCUCUGGACGGAGUGUGCAUUGUGGAUUCGACGUGCGCAUUGUGGAUUUGACGUGUGGAGGCUUUUUCGUGGAUUUGAGACAUAUUGUUGGUGGAUUAAGGUGGCGAAAAAUUUGAUGCCUUCUUGACGAACUUCCCAUAAGAACAACAAGCUAGUUGAUUCAUAGGAAAAAACUAUCUAGCUACAGUUGACGGUCGAACAGCCAUUUAUUUAUCAUGAAUACAACAUUCCAUUUCACCUAAGCAUGACAUCUAUGGUGAGUAUUUGUACAACAAACACUUUCUGCACUAGAAUUCAGAUAUAUUAUUGUCAUCAUGCAUUAUUAGAGAUAUUAAAUUCGCAAAUCAUCUACUCUUGUGUGAUUGUUCACCAUCUAGAUAAAUCAACCACAAGCUAUUAAUAGUUCUAGUUCAGAUGACAAGACAAGAUAUUAAGCUAGUUUACUUAAAGUUAGCUCGAUAACUUAAACCAAGUUCAGGUCAGGGCAAUUCAAGACAUUCUCUCUAAGGCAAACUAGAUCCAAAGCAUUGCUCAAAGUCUAAAACAAUGGCACGACAUUUAGUCGCAAUUAUAACAUUAACAUGGUUUGAGAUAUACAGAGGUAGAUGACAGAUAGAGGAAGCAAGAGCAACAUUGUUGUACUCAUCGUUACUUGUGAACAAGCAUAGACAAUCCAGGAUAGACAGAGCUUGGAAUAAAAUGAGACGAGGACUGAGACCUAAUUUUGCAAGAUCAGCUAAAAAACUAUUUGAAAUGUGAAACAAUCAACAUGAUACAAAAUCAAGGACAUUAAACAAGUGGCAGAUAUUUGCAGUCAACGGUCAACAUGAAAAUACAUGCAGCCGAGUGCAGCGUACGUACAUUUGUCACCACAGAGUUUUGAAAGACAAAUUUUCAGACGCCUAGAACGGGGAAGAGUAGAUAGUAACCUGGGACUAUGGUCCAAAGCCUUUGCCAGUUGAAGCGAUGGAGGAGGACCUUGGAAUCUUCAGUGACCAUAGCAAGCAGAUCCUUCUCUGGAUUCCACACCGACAUUUUUAUCUGCAUACGAAUUUCAAAAAAUUUAAAAAAAAAAAUCAGUAUAUAUAUCAACAAAAACUAGAAUAAAAAUAAAUAAAUAAAUAAAUAAAUAAAUAAAACUUUUCUCCAGACUGUGCGCCAUGAAGAAACCUAUGAAUCCAAAAGGAAACAGAAUGAAAUUUAGAAAAUAGAGAGCACACAUAAUUCCAUUCCAUGCUGCUAAAGAUCAUGAUAAACCAAAAAUAGUCGUGUACACAAGAUUUUCAGACUUUAGUCAGCAAGCAGCACAAGAGUUUCCGCAACUUACAUCAACGUAAUUUAUUGUGGCUGCCACUUCAUGGACGACUGGUCAGAUCUAUCCGUCGUUUUAUCCAAUCGAACUUGAAAUUUAAACGAGUUUUAAAGAACGGACCGCCAAUAGGAACAGCAGCAAAUAAUGAAGAAAACAAAAUCUCCAAAAGACAGUCAGGGUUUUUGGGACUCCGAUUCGUUCCAAAUCUAGAUUCGGGGAAGAGAAAAGACGUGUAGGUGCGAUCGCAUCACCUGAAAGGGGAUGGGCUUGUCGAACUGGAGCUGGAAAGGGAUCGCUCCCGCCGAGGCCUCCUCGCUCUCCGUUUCCAUCUCGACCUCCUCUUCCGCCAUUGUUGGACACCAACAAUUGGAGAAGAAAAUGUAGGCGGAGAGGAGAGAAUAGCCGAAGCCCUUGCGUCGCCCUGGGCGGGAAAUAGGGUUUCGCAGAUACUGAGAACUGUUGAGAGGGGGCUUUUUUUGCAAAUAGCCCCCUAACUAAUUUUUUUUUUAAAAUUGGCCCUAUCAAAAAUUUAUUUGCAAAAAUGGCCCUGGUCCCACCACGUCAGCGCCACGUCAGCGCCACGCGGGCGGGGCUGGGCCAUGUGUUUAAGUUGAAUACGGUGAACCAUUCACCGUGUUCAAUACAAGGUUUUUGUAUUAGACACGGUGAAUGGUUCACCGUGUCCAAUACAAAAUGGUUAACUGCGAGGUAUUUGUAUUGGACACGGUGAAUGAAUCACCGUGUCCAAUACAAAUAAUUGAACACGGUGAAUGAUUCACCGUGUCCAAUACAAACAUUCAAAACUUAGUCAUUUUUGGCUAAGUUGGAGGUAUUUGUAUUGGACACGGUGAAUGAUUCACCGUGUCCAAUACAAAAACCUUGUAUUGAACACGGUGAAUGGUUCACCGUGUUCAACUUAAACACAUGGCCCAGCCCCGCCCGCGUGGCGCUGACGUGGCGCUUGCGUGGCGGGGCCAGGGCCAUUUUUGCAAAUAAAAUUUUGACAGGGCUAAUUUUAAAAAUAAAAUUAAUCAGGGGGCUAUUUGCAAAAAAAGCCCGUUGAGAGGUUUUCCUCGCUCUCUCGACGGCUAAAUGGGCGCUUUUCGUUCUCUUUAGGCCAAAACGGCGGCGAAGCUGCGCAUAGCGGCGAUUUUUGCGAAGCAGCCCUCUUCCAAAUUUUUAUUUUAAAAUUAGACCAACUAAAUUUUUAUUUUUAGACUGCGUUUGGUUCGAGAACUAAAUUUUGGAGAACAACUUUUGUUGUUCCCGAAAACAGGGGAUAUUCCGGUACAAGAUAGAACAAUUGUAAAUUUGUAUUUGGAUGCAUUCGAGGAUAUUCUAGAGGAUAUCCUUAAUAGCGUUUGGAUAAAAAGUCUACAACAACGUCUAAAUAUAUUUUUAAAAAUAAAAUAAUUAAUUUAUAUUAGUAUAUUUUAUAUAAAAUUAUUUAUAAAAUUAUUUCAUAUAGUAAUUUAUAAUAUAAUAUUUUAUGUAAGAAUCUAAUUUAAAAUAAUAUAUUUUAUUUUAUUAUAUAUAAUAAUUUAUUUUAUGUAAUAAUUUAUUUUAUAUAAUUUAUUCAUAAUAUAUUAAUGAAUAAAGUAUAAUACUAACAAUAUCCCUAUAUUUUUAAUUAAUAAUUAGUAUAAAUUUUAAUACAAAUAAAAAAUAUAUAUAUAAUUAAAUAUUAAAGUAUAAAUGAUAGAGUUUAAUAAAAUAAAAAAUAUAUCAAAUUUAAUUAAUUUAUAUUAUAUAAUAAAAUUUAAGUAUAAUAUAUUAUCAUAAAAAUAAUAUUUAUACUAAUAUUUAUUUAUUAAAUUUGAGCAUUCAUUUAAUUUAUUUGAAAUUAAUUAAAAUAAAGUAUAAACAAUUAAAAGGCCAGAAAAAAAAAGAAGCCAAAAUCUCUUGUUCCAGCUUCUUAAAAGGGAGAACAAGCUUAACGGGUUGUUCCCGGAACAACCCGUUAAGCCGGGAACAACCCGGUUGUUCCAAAAAACAUUGUGUUUGGAGGGAUAUCCCGCCUUGCUCUGGGAUAUCCCUCCAACCAAACGCAGCCUUAGAGUAGUGCUACUGGUACAACCCAUCUUGGGUUGUACAUCCUACAACUAUCCUAUCCAAUGGCUGAUAUUAGUUAGCUUUUGAAAAAAAAAAAAUCAGUGUUAUCCUCACUCCCAUUUUCUUCCUCCUCACUCUUUUCCCCCUUUUUUGAUCUCUCUCCUUUUUUCCAGCGCUUGCGGGUUAGAGAGAAAGAGGGUUGAGCGAUAGAGCGAGAGAGAGAAGAUCUCGAGCGAGAGAGGGGCGCCUCACUCCUCUUUUCUGGCGCCUGCGAGCUAGAGAGAGAAAGGCCUACGAGCGAUAGAGCGAGAGAGAGGAGAGCUUGAGCGAGACAGAGGCGACCUCCGCGAGAGAAAGCGAGAGCGAGAGUGAGGGGAACUUCGUCUUUGAUUUGUAGUUUCUGAGAGGGGAAGCGCUGGUUUGAGAUUGGGUGGGCUUCAAAGCGAUGCUUCUUGCAGAGUUGUGAUCGGCGAGGGGAACUUCAUGUUUGAUUUGGUGUCCAAGUGGCCGGAUGCGGAUGGCGCCUUGAUUAGCAUCUUGCAUUUGGUAAAUCUCCCCUUUCUAUUUCUCAGUGGAUGUGUGUGACUUAGGUUAAUGUUGUAGUUAUUACAAAUUAGUUGAUUGUGAUGUUGUAAGCAUUUGAUCGCAGAGAAUUAGUGAUCUUUAAUGUUUAAUGAAACUGGUUUCUUUUUUUAUGUUGUUAUACCGUUGAGUGUAUAAGUAAUGAUGAACGUGAGAAGAUGGAGGAAUUUAAGUGAAAAAGGUAAAAUUGGGACACAACACAAAUGCUAGAGUUCUAAUUUAACAAUUGAAAGGUUCGUGACCAAAGUAAAACUAUGCUAAAAGGUCGAGAUCCCGUGGUGCAGUUUCCUCAUAGGUGGAAAAAAGUUUUGAAUUUAAAAAUUUCAAUCCUAAUGACAAUGACAACUAACUAGUUUACUACUGGAGUACAUUUAAUGAACUUCGCCUUUGUCACCUUUGUUUUACUUACAUUUGUUUAGAUGCAUCAUAAAUAAAGUAUAUAAGUGAUUUCUCAAAGUUGAUUUUGCAAAUUUAUUGCUCUUCCUGUAUUGAUGCUGAAAUAUUAUUAUCUUGGAACUAGCGAGGCCAAUUCACUAGCCAGUUCAGACAGGUUGAUCAGUAAUAUUCUAUAUAACAUGAAAGUCCAACUAUUCGUCUCUUAUGCAUAAUUGCUGUCCAAGUGUGCUCAAUUUACUAGCUGCGAUUCCUUACUUCUAGUCCACACUGUCCAAUUACUUCCAGUAUAUGAUGCUUGUCCUUGAGCUGCAAAAACUUAUGUCUCUUUUAUAUGAUGUGUGAAUGGCUUGUAAUUCAAGUGAGCUUUAUCUUAUCAGUCUUAAGAAUAAGACUGAUAAGUUGCGACUAUCUCAUUGGAGUUCUUUGUCUUCACAUUUGUCAUGCACUAACUAAAACGUUUAGGAUGUGCUUAUAAUAAAAUACUUGUAUUAUAUUGUUAUGCCACAAUGAUUCAUUUUUAGGACAUAGUAGAAUGUGGUGUAUACAUUAUUAAUUUAGAUGUAUUGAUUUUGAUAAAUAGUUUGCCCGGCCACCAUUAUUCCAAUUGUGUAUUUCGACUGCAUGUGAUGUCUUACAGGUUACAGGUGAGCAAUUUUGUUAAAUUUCUGGGUUGACUAAUUAUUUGAAUUGAACAUUUUUUAGAUGGAUGAAGAAAGAAACAGUGAGGUCAGAGACGUAAAUAUUUCGGCACCAGAAAUUGGAAUGUCUUUUAUCAAUUUUGAAGCCGUUUUUAAUUUCUAUAAGCAUUAAGCACAAGAAUCAGGAUUUGAAGUUGUAAAGAGGAUAACUAAAAUGACUGAUGGCAAGGCUACGUAUGUAAUAAUCGCAUGCUCUCGUCAUGGAAAAAUGCAUCGGACCGUGACGAAUCUUCGUCCUCGUCCAUCGUUGGUGAAGACGAACUGUCUUGCGAGGAUAAAUGUGGUAAUAAAUGCGGAUUCAUCUUGUGUAAUAAGUAAAAUUGUACUUGAGCAUAAUCACAUCCUAAGUCCUUAUAAGUCUCAAUUUUUUCCCUGCAAUCGAGUUAUAGAUCCGAACAUCAAGAGGCGGCUUGAUCUUAAUGAUCGUGCUGGAAUCAGAUUGAACAAAAAUUUUAAUUCUAUUGCUGUUGAAGCUGGUGGGUAUGAAAACUUAACAUUUGGAGAGAAAGAUGCUCGUAAUUAUAUUGAAAAAGUCCGUCGGCUACGACUUGGUGAAGGUGACGGCGAGGCAAUUUGUAAUUAUUUUAGAGAAAUGCAAGAGAGAAAUGGAAACUUUUUUUAUGCUAUAGAUCUAGACGAUGAUUCUCGGCUUCGCAAUGUCUUUUGGGCAGAUGCUCGGAGUAGAGCGGCAUAUGAAUGUUUCGGAGAUGUAAUUACUUUCGACUCGACAUAUCUAACAAAUAAGUACGGUAUGCCAUUUGCCCCUUUCGUUGGUGUUAACCAUCAUGGACAGUUGAUCUUGUUGGGAUGCAGCCUACUCUCCACUGAAGAUACAAAAUCGUUUGUAUGGCUCUUUCGGAAUUGGUUGUCAUGCAUGUCCGAGUGUGCCCCCAAAGCAUUAAUCACAGAUCAAGAUAAAGCGAUGCAAAAUGCUAUCACACGUGUCUUUCCUGAUACUCGGCAUCGAUAGUGCUUAUGGCACAUUACAAAGAAAAUACUAGAGAAGCUAAGAAGCUAUGACGAAUAUCAUUCGAUUAAGAGCAUUAUGAUGGAUGCUAUUUAUGAAUCACUGACAGAAAUUGAAUUUAAGGAAAAAUGGAAGAGAAUGAUAACUUGUUACGGACUUCAAAAUAAUGAAUGGUUGUCAGGCCUGUACGAGGAAAGACGUAAGUAGAUACCAGUUUAUGUAAAGGAUACAUUUUGGGCUGGAAUGUUCACAACACAGCGAAGCGAAAGUAUAAAUGCAUUUUUUGAUGGAUAUGUGAACUUGAAAACUUCAUUAAAACAAUUUGUUGAGCAAUAUGAAAGCGCUAUAAAGAAUAAAGCUGAAAAAGAAGCAGAAUUAGACUACAAAUCAUUCAGGUCAGUCAUACCGUGUAUCAGCCGUUAUGUAUUUGAGAAACAAUUUCAAGAUGUGUACACGAUUGCGAAAUUUAGAGAAUUUCAGGCAGAGCUUAAGGAAUUAAUGCAUUGCGAGACAUCCUUACUGUCUUCGAAGGGCAAUGCGUAUUCUUAUCAAGUUAAUGAGUAUGGCGUCGGAGGUAAAGAUACAGCUUUCACAGUAUAUUUUGAUGAGGGUGGCUCUCUAGUAAGUUGUAUUUGCCGUCUAUUUGAGUAUAAAGGUAUUGUAUGUCGACAUUCAAUUGUCGUCCUAGUUUAUAGGAAGUUGAUGAUUGUCCCAAAUUCUUACAUAUUAACACGAUGGAGGAAGGACGUCAGACGGAGGUAUACCCGCGUGAAGACAUGGCAUAAGAACUUAGGGAGCACCGCUGAAAUUUAUCGAUACGAAGUAGUAUGUAGUAAUAUGUAUGACAUUGCAGACAUAGCUGCUGAGUCCGAUGAGAAAUGUGAAGUUGCAUUACGUACGUUGCGAGAUUUGAAGACCAAAUUGGAAUACACUUCAUCAUCCAAGGGGAGCAAUGAUAUUGAAUAUUCGCUGAUUGCGGCAACACCUUCGAAUGGUGCAUCGGAUGAUAGAAGUAAUGACCGGAGAGUUCUAAGCCCGCUACCAGUUCGCAGUAAAGGCCGCCCGCCAAGCAAAAGAAAAGAGUCAAUGACCGAUAAAGUUGUACGACGGUUGAAGAUGAAAGGCAAUAAGCAACAGGUAUAUCUUGACCUAUCUUAAUCAAUUUUUUUGUUGGAUUCUAAUAUACAAUAGACGACAAUGAUUGAUAAUUAUUCAUGAUAUAUUUUAACAGGUUGGGCAACAUUGUGGGGACAAGAUAUAUAAUGGUGAAUGUUCCAUCUAUAAUCGUCUCUCAUCAUCUCACUCGACCUCCUCCCAACAGAGUGUAAAUAUUUUAUGCAUUACUAUAUCUAGAUUUUUUUUUUCUAAUAUUCAAUAUAGUAUGAUUUGACUAUUUGUUUUUAAAAUUCUGGAUCUCUUAUUCUACAAAACCAAUUGAUUUAUUAAAACAGGUUCAUCUACAAAGUCCUAAGAUUAACAAUUCGUCGCCAAGUGACUUACCUUAUGGGAUCGGUGUACACACCGGCCCAGCCAUUAUCGUAACAGUAAUAGAAAUUAUAUUUCUUAUGGACGGUUCUUUAAUACAAUUUUAUCUAUAUACAAAUAAUAUGGUUUAAAUUUUCUUUCUUUUAAUAUCAGACAACGUGGGGCCCCAAAAAUAUAUCUGUAUCAUCAGAUCCUAUCAUGUAUCCUCAUAGAGUGGAUAUUAGUCCUCAAUCUUCAAAUCAAAAUCUGGCCGCUCAGACGCACAUGCCACAUCCGACUCAUUUGCAACAGGUAUUGACAAAGUCUUGAUACAAUCUAUAUAUGCGUAUUGUAUUCUUGGCUUUAAAUUGAUCCUAUUAACCUUUUAAACAGUUGCAGGAAAAGAAAAUCCCGCAGGAACAUCAAUUUCAGCACGGUGGAAGAGCACCGCCCACAUGAAAUCAGCAUCCAUUGUAUUCACUGUACUGUUACAGAUUCAAAAUUGAUAUGUGUUGUACCUGCUUGUUCGGGAGUGUCGAAUUAUAAACAGUGAUUUAACAAUCUUUCAUAUUUUUCUUGUUACUAUUGUAGCACUGCAUGUAAAUUGACAAUAAUGUAAUGACGUGCUUAUAUUCCUCAUAUCUAGCAAUAUUGAAUGUUCUUGCUUUCUGUUUAGUAUAUGAGUAAUGUGUGUAUAUAUUCGUGAAUUUGUGUUGUAUUAUUAUACUCAAUGUAUAUUUAUAUAUAUUUAAAAUGCUAUGCAUUACAUACUGCUUGUACAUUGUCUGCCACCACGAAUGACGCACCUCGCACGGUCGAUGGAAUUUUCGGUGCCGUGGGGUAGUAUUCAUGAUUCAGAUGAGUAUUUAUAUGUAUAUGGGUAUCAGGUAUUGCGAGUCCAUGGCUUCCAACAGAUGCAAGCAUCUACUGUUAAUUACCCCCUUGAGAUUGGGGCACCUUCGAUUAAGAGACCUUUAUAGAUUGGAUGAGAUGGAUCGUAUCUCGGUUUAUUGAAUCCUAAGUAUAUGUAUUAGGAUUCAGUUGGAUUUGAGGUUGAUUAGGCCCUAAGUAUAUGUGUUAAGACCUGAUCGAUAUUAAACUCUAUGUAUUAGAGUCUAAUUAGUUCAUGAGAUAUGGGUAUGAGAUCUGGGUAUUGGUUCAUGGGAUUUGGGUAUUGGUUUAUGAGAUUUGGGUAUUGGUUCAUGGGAUAUGGGUAUCAAGUUUGAUGUAUGGUUCAUGGGAUUUGGUCCAUGAGAUUUGGUGCAUGGUUUAUGGGGUUUGGUCCAUGAGAUUUAGUUGUGGUUCAUGGGAUUUGGUCCAUGAGGUUUGGUUCGGUUCAUGGGAUUGUGGUCCAUGAGAUUUAGUUUUGGUUCAUGGCAUUUGGUCCAUGAUGAUUGGGUUUUGGGCUCAUGGGAUUUGGUCGAUGAGGCUUGUUUUUGGUUCAUGGGUAAGGUUAUGAACUUGGCUCAUGAAUCUUGGUUUAUGGACUUGAUUUCAUGAUUCAUGAUCUGGUUUAUGGUUUAUGAAGUUGGGAUAUAUUGGAUAUAGUUUAUGAACUUGGUUUAUUUUGGUUCAUAGGCCUUGAUUCAUGAACUUGGGUAUGAUCCGUGGUGUUUGGUUCACGAACUUGGGUGAGGUUCAUGGAUUUGGUUGUGGUUCAUGACUUGGUUUAUGAGUUUGGUUCAUGAGAUUGAUUCAUGAAUUGGGUAUAGAAUUGGGAUUUGCGUUCACGAACUUAGGUUCAUGAGCCUAAGUUAGACAAGUUGGAUUUGAGUUUUGGGUUUGGAUUUGAAUUUGUGGACUAUGAUUUGAGUCUGAGGUUUGGUUCUCUAUGUGACUUGGUUUGGAUUUUAUUUGGGUUUUGGAUUUGGGUUGUGGACUUGAUUUGAGUUGGGUUUGGGUUCUUUAUGUGGACUUGGUUUGGUUUUAGGUUUGGAUUUUAUUUGGGUUUUGGAUUUGGGUUGUGGACUUGGGUUGUGGACUUGAUUUGGUUUUGGUUUGGUUUGGUUUCGGUUCGGAUUUUAUUUGGGUUUUGGAUUUGGGUUGUGGACUUGGGUUGUGGACUUGAUUUGGUUUUGGUUUGGUUUGGUUUGGGUUCGGAUUUUAUUUGGGUUUUGGUUUCGGGCUUUAUUUGUGAACUUGAUUUGGUUUGGGCUUGGGUUUAUUUAUGGAAUUGGUUUGGGUUCUUUAUGUGGACUUGGUUUGGUUUGGGUUUAUUUGGGUUUCGGGUUUGGUUUGGAUUGGGUUUGGUUUGGGUUCAAGUUUGGGUUUAUUUGUAGACUAGGUUUGGAUUUGGGUUUGGAUUUGAUUUGGGUUUUGGGUUUCGGUUUAUUUGUGGAUUGUAUUUGGUUUUGGUUUGGUUUGGGUUCGAAUUUUAUUUCGGGUUCGGGGCAAUCCACUUUUGAUUUUUGCAAUUUGGUUCGGAUCCGAAGAAAUCCACCUUUUGAUUUUGGUUUGAUUUGGAGUUCGAAGAAAUCCCCUUUUGAUCUCGAUUUGGAUUUGGGGUCUGAAGAAAUCCCCGUUUUGAUUUUUCCGUUUGAUUUCGAUUUGGAUUUGAUUUUCAAAUUUGAUUUGGGGUCCGAAGAAAUCCCUUCUUUGAUUCUCCAAUUGGAUUCGAUUUGGGGUCCGAAGAAAUCCCCGUUUUGAUUUUGAUUUGGGGUCCGAAGAAAUCCCCGUUCGAUUCUCCAAUUUGGAUUUAGUUUUUCAAUUUGAUUUGGGGUCCGAAGAAAUCCCCGUUUGAUUCUCCAAAUGGAUUUGAUUUUUCAAUUUGAUUUGGGGUCUGAAGAAAUCCCCGUUUGAUCUUGAUUUGGGGUCCAAAGAAAUCCCCAUUUUAAUUUUGAUUUGGGGCCCAAAGAAAUCCCCUUUUGAUUCUGAUUUGGGGUCCAAAGAAAUCUCCAUUUUAAUUUUGAUUUGGGGUCCGAAGAAAUCCCCUUUUGAUUCUGAUUUGGGGUCCGAAGAAAUCCCCGUUUUGCUUCCAAUUUGGGGUCCGAAGAAAUCCCCGUUUUAAUUUUGAUUUGGGGUCCGAAGAAACGGGGAAUCAAAGAUUCCCCUCCCCUCUUCUGGCGAUGCUGUAGAUGUCGUCGGCGAAGUUGUUGACGGUGGCACGGAACUGUUCGGCCGUCGGAUUUGAUAUGACAUUUUCGAAGAAAUAUUGAAGGGUCCGAAGAAACGGGGAAUCAAAGAUUCCCCUCCCCUCUUCUUUCGAAAAGAUCAAAACGGCGAUUGUAGAUGUCGUCGACGGAAUUGUUAACUGUGGCGUGGAUCUGUUCAGCCGGCAAAUUUGGUUCGAUAUUUAUCGAAGAAAUGUUGAAGAAUCGGAAGAAACAGGGAAUCAAAGAUCCCCCUCCCCUCUUUUUUCGAAAGUAUAAAACCAAACAUGCUGGAGAUGGUCGCGGCAAUGUAGAUCACCCAUUCCGUCAUCAACGACUUCAGAUGGGGUAUUGAGAGGUCCGAAGAAACGGGGAAUCAAAGAUUCCUCUCCACUCUCCCAUCGAAGCCAUCUAGAUGGUAUGGAUGGCUACAAUCGCAGGACCAAAGAAAGAAAAAAAAAAUAGAGGGGAGAAGAAGAGAGAUCUUUUUUUUCUUUUUCUUUUUUUUUCUUUUUUUUUUUUCUUUUUAUGUUUUUUUUUCUUCUUCAUUUUUCUUUUUUUUUUUUUUUUUUUACCUGUUGAUCAAAUGACGGAUUGGAUGAAUCAGCUCGACGAUUCCUCCACCUUUUCGCGGCUCGGCGAUCUCCCCUCCUUUUCGCGGCUCGGCGAUUUCUCCUCCUUUCCGCGGUUCGGCGAUUUCUCCUCAUUUCCGCGGUUCGGCGAUCCUCCUCCUUUCCGCGGCUUGGCGAUAUCUCCUUUUUUCUUUUUUCUUUUUUUUGUAUGUCGGAACGAGUGUAGCAAUCUAUCUAUUUUUUUUGUUCUUUGUCUAUCGUAUCAUCUCCGUAAAAAAAAUUCUCCGAAUUUGAUUUCGGUCCCCGUAUUUAUAAUGGGAGGGGAGGAGUUAGUUAAGAAUUCAAAAUUCGAAAUUCGAAUUUGAAUUUUAAAUAGGUUGUUGUGGUUGGUUGAAAGAUAUUUUGGAUUUUGUUGGGAAUUCGAAAUUCGAAAUCAAAUUUUGNAGAG